AAAAAAAAAUAAAAAAGGAAAAAAAAAAAAAAAAGAAAAAAGGAAGAAGAGGAAGAAAGAAGAAGUUUAUUAUCUCAAUUCUUUAAUUCUGCUGAGGAAAUGUGUAAUAUGCAAGUUACAUGGUCAGGAUCAACGGCUGGUAACGUUAAAGUUGGAUAUUUGCUUGGAACUUUGCAAAUGGUCAUCUUGGGUUGCUGCCUGCUCGUAGAGUCCCAUUAUCGUCGAGUUUGAAGGCAUUAUAUGCAAUGGAGGAAAUCAAGAGUUUUGAUAGUCUGCAAAUGGUGCCAACCAUUCAACAUUCUGCUAGCAAAGACAGUGAAACAAAGUCAAUGGAUUUGCACUCUCAGCAGCUGAAUGAAGAGUGCAUAGUUUCAGAAGAAUCAAACAAGAUGAAGAUUUUGGAAGUGCUAGAUAAAGGUUAUAUGAAGUAUGGAUGUCCACAUUAUCGCAGAAGGUGCCGUAUAAGAGCCCCUUGUUGUGAUGAGAUCUUUGAUUGCCGUCACUGUCAUAAUGAGUCAAAGAAUAAUAUCAAUGUUGACCAGAAGCUUAGACAUGACAUGUCGCGCCAUGAAGUGAGACAGGUGAUAUGUUCACUUUGUGGCACCAAACAAGAGGUUCAACAAUUUUGUAUUAACUGUGGGGUUUGCAUGGGAAGGUACUUCUGUGAGACUUGCAAGCUGUUUGAUGAUGAUACAUCUAAGAAACAGUAUUAUUGUGAUGGCUGUGGAAUUUGCAAGUAUGCUCAUCUCUGUGCUGUUUAGCUUGUCUUUACGAUAAAUGGAGAAAGAACUGCUUUUCUUUUAGCAGCAGCUAAACUAUAUCGCUGCUUAUCUUGCAUUCCAUGACAAGAACAAUGAAGCCAAUAGAACAAAGAUGAUUGCCAUAUCUUGGGCUCAGACUAUAAACAAACCAUCCAUUGAAAUCUCCAAGCUUUUUCCAUUUAAUCAAACAUUAUUGAUCCUGAGUGUAUCAUUUGGCAGAAGAUUGAUUAAAUUAUGUAACUCAUUAAACAUGAUUAAGGUUUGCCUGUGGAUAACAAAAAGAGACCUAUCACUAGAUGACCAGGGAACUUAGAGGAAUUGUUUACCACUUAGUUUUUCCUACCUAAUAAAAAGCAUUGUCCAUUCACUU
rnacentral:misc_RNA from 1 species